CACGGCAGGAACUGAGGUUUCCUCCGGUCGCCCGGCUGGCCGUUUUUGCUUGUUGGCAUCAAUAAAUCUUUUAUUACCUUGCAACCUAAAUUGAUAGCCUCAUCCUUAUCACAUUUAC